UACGGAGGGGGCGAGCGUUGUUCGGAAUCACUGGGCGUAAAGCGUACGUAGGCUGUCUUGUAAGUCAGGAGUGAAAUCCCAGGGCUUAACCCUGGAAUUGCUUUUGAGACUGCAGGACUGGAGUCCGGGAGAGGCUAGUGGAAUACCCAGUGUAGAGGUGAAAUUCGCAGAUAUUGGGUGGAACACCAGUGGCGAAGGCGACUAGCUGGACCGGUACUGACGCUGAGGUACGAAAGCGUGGGGAGCAAACAGG
rnacentral:rRNA from 1 species